AUGCUCGCUUUGGCAGCACAUAUACUAAAAUCGGAAUGAUACAGAGAAGGUUAGCAUGGCCUCUGUGCAAGGACUCCUAUUUAAAGAAAGGAAAUUAAGUGCAUU